rnacentral:pre_miRNA from 1 species
AUAAUACUCCCUCCGUCCGAAAAUACUUGUCGGAAAAAUGCAUAAAAUGAGAUGUAUCUAAAACUAAAAUACAUCCAUUUCUCCGACAAGUAUUUUCGGAUGGAGGGAGUAUAUA